rnacentral:rRNA from 1 species
GAUGAACGCUAGCGGCAGGCUUAAUACAUGCAAGUUGAGGGGCAGCAUGAUAUACGCGAGUAUAUUGAUGGCGACCGGCGGACGGGUGAGUAAUAGGUAGGAGACCUACCUCAUACAGGGGGAUAGCAUAGAGAAAUCUGUGGUAAUACCCCAUGAGGUUAUAUGAAUAGAGGCAUAUAAUCAAAGCAUAAGCGAUUAUGCGGUAUGAGAGGGGCCUACUGACCAUUAGCUAGUUGGUGAGGUAAGGGCUCACCAAGGCGAAGAUGGUUAGGGGUUUUGAGAGAGAGACCCCCCACAUUGGAACUGAGAGACGGUCCAGACUCCUACGGGAGGCAGCAGUAGGGAAUAUUGGGCAAUGGGCGAAAGCCUGACCCAGCCAUGCCGCGUGAAGGAAGACGGCCUUAUGGGUUGUAAACUUCUUUACUACGCGAAUAGAGGUUAGUACGAGAUACUAAUAGGAAGGUAGUGUAGUAAAAAGCAACCGGCUAAACUCCGUGA